rnacentral:rRNA from 1 species
GACGAACCACACGAACGUUAUUCGGAAUUACUGGGCUUAAAGGGUGCGUAGGCGGCGCAGAAAGUUGGGUGUGAAAUCCCUCGGCUCAACCGAGGAACUGCGCCCAAAACUACUGUGCUUGAGGAAGAUAGAGGUAAGCGGAACUUACGGUGGAGCGGUGAAAUGCGUUGAUAUCGUAAGGAACACCUGUGGCGAAAGCGGCUUCCUGGUCCAGCACCGACGUUCAGGCACGAAAGCGUGGGGAGCAAACAGG